rnacentral:rRNA from 1 species
ACGGGAGGCAGCAGUGAGGAAUAUUGGUCAAUGGGCGAGAGCCUGAACCAGCCAAGUCGCGUGAAGGAUGAAGGUUCUAUGGAUUGUAAACUUCUUUUGUUCGAGGGUAAAGUGAUCUACGUGUAGGUUAUUGCAAGUAUCGAACGAAUAAGCAUCGGCUAACUCCGUGCCAGCAGCCGCGGUAAUACGGAGGAUGCGAGCGUUAUCCGGAUUUAUUGGGUUUAAAGGGAGCGUAGGCGGGCCUUUAAGUCAGUGGUCAAAGCGUGUGGCUCAACCAUACCACGCCGUUGAUACUGGAGGCCUUGAGUGCACAUAAGGAUGGUGGAAUUCAUGGUGUAGCGGUGAAAUGCUUAGAUAUCAUGAAGAACUCCGAUUGCGAAGGCAGCUGUCCGGGGUGUAACUGAUGCUAAUGCUCGAAAGUGCGGGUAUCAAACAGGAUUAGAUACCCUGGUA